GAGGAAUAUUGGUCAAUGGGCGGAAGCCUGAACCAGCCAUGCCGCGUGCAGGACGACGGCCCUAUGGGUUGUAAACUGCUUUUGUGCGGGAAGAAUAACCCCCUCGUGAGGGGGGAUGCCGGUACCGCACGAAUAAGGAUCGGCUAACUCCGUGCCAGCAGCCGCGGUAAUACGGAGGAUCCAAGCGUUAUCCGGAUUUACUGGGUUUAAAGGGUGCGUAGGCGGGUCGUUAAGUCGGCGGUGAAAUGCGGGGGCUCAACCUUCGAGCUGCCGCCGAAACUGGCGACCUUGAAUUCGGUCGAGGCUGGCGGAAUGCGUGGUGUAGCGGUGAAAUGCUUAGAUAUCACGCGGAACGCCGAUUGCGAAGGCAGCUGGCCGGGCCGAGAUUGACGCUGAGGCACGAAAGCGUGGGGAUCAAAC
rnacentral:rRNA from 1 species